UGGGGAAUAUUGCACAAUGGGGGAAACCCUGAUGCAGCGACGCCGCGUGAGUGAAGAAGUAUUUCGGUAUGUAAAGCUCUAUCAGCAGGGAAGAAAAUGACGGUACCUGACUAAGAAGCCCCGGCUAACUACGUGCCAGCAGCCGCGGUAAUACGUAGGGGGCAAGCGUUAUCCGGAUUUACUGGGUGUAAAGGGAGCGUAGACGGCAAGGCAAGUCUGAAGUGAAAGCCCGGGGCUCAACCGCGGGACUGCUUUGGAAACUGUCUGGCUGGAGUGCCGGAGAGGUAAGCGGAAUUCCUAGUGUAGCGGUGAAAUGCGUAGAUAUUAGGAGGAACACCAGUGGCGAAGGCGGCUUACUGGACGGUAACUGACGUUGAGGCUCGAAAGCGUGGGGAGCAAACA
rnacentral:rRNA from 1 species